ACAUGUACGGACGCCGCAGAGAUGUGGCUUCCCUUGUGGCUCGUAUACAGGUGGUGCAUGGUUGUCGUCAGCUCGUGUCGUGAGAUGUUGGGUUAAGUCCCGCAACGAGCGCAACCCUUGUCUUAUGUUGCCAGCACGUAAUGGUGGGGACUCGUGAGAAACUGCCGGGGUCAACUCGGAGGAAGUGGGAUGACGUCAAAUCAUCAUGCCCCUUAUGUCCAGGGCUUCACACAUGCUACAAUGGUCGGUACAGUGGGUUGCGAUACCGUGAGGUGGAGCUAAUCCCUUAAAGCCGGUCUCAGUUCGGAUCGGAGUCUGCAACUCGACUCCGUGAAGCUGGAUUCGCUAGUAAUCGCGCAUCAGCCAUGGCGCGGUGAAUACCGGUUCCCGGGCCUU
rnacentral:rRNA from 1 species